AGAGUUUGGAAUCCAUGGCUCAGAGUGAACGCUGGCGGUAGGCCUAACACAUGCAAGUCGAACGGCAGCACAGCAGUAGCAAUACUGUGGGUGGCGAGUGGCGGACGGGUGAGGAAUACAUCGGAAUCUACCUUUUCGUGGGGGAUAACGUAGGGAAACUUACGCUAAUACCGCAUAAGACCUUCGGGUGAAAGUGGGGGACCUUCGGGCCUCACGCGGAUAGAUGAGCCGAUGUCGGAUUAGCUUGUUGGCGGGGUAAAAGCCCACCAAGGCGACGAUCCGUAGCUGGUCUGAGAGGAUGAUCAGCCACACUGGAACUGAGACACGGUCCAGACUCCUACGGGAGGCAGCAGUGGGGAAUAUUGGACAAUGGGCGCAAGCCUGAUCCAGCCAUACCGCGUGGGUGAAGAAGGCCUUCGGGUUGUAAAGCCCUUUUGUUGGGAAAGAAAUCCUGCCGGUUAAUAACCAGUAGGGAUGACGGUCCCAAAGAAUAGC
rnacentral:rRNA from 1 species